rnacentral:rRNA from 1 species
GACGAACGCUGGCGGCGUGCCUAAUACAUGCAAGUUGAGCGCUGAAGGUUGGUACUUGUACCAACUGGAUGAGCAGCGAACGGGUGAGUAACGCGUGGGGAAUCUGCCUUUGAGCGGGGGACAACAUUUUGAAACGAAUGCUAAUACCGCAUAAAAACUUUAAACACAAGUUUUAAGUUUGAAAGAUGCAAUUGCAUCACUCAAAGAUGAUCCCGCGUUGUAUUAGCUAGUUGGUGAGGUAAAGGCUCACCAAGGCGAUGAUACAUAGCCGACCUGAGAGGGUGAUCGGCCACAGUGGGACUGAGACACGGCCCAAACUACUACGGGAGGCAGCAGUAGGGAAUCUUCGGCAAUGGACGAAAGUCUGACCGAGCAACGCCGCGUGAGUGAAGAAGGUUUUCGGAUCGUAAAACUCUGUUGGUAGAGAAGAACGUUGGUGAGAGUGGAAAGCUCAUCAAGUGACGGUAACUACCCAGAAAGGGGCGGCUAACUACGUG